rnacentral:rRNA from 1 species
AGGGAAUCUUCCGCAAUGGACGAAAGUCUGACGGAGCAACGCCGCGUGAGUGAAGAAGGCCUUCGGGUCGUAAAACUCUGUUGCCGGGGAAGAACAAGUGCCGUUCGAAUAGGGCGGCGCCUUGACGGUACCCGGCCAGAAAGCCACGGCUAACUACGUGUCAGCAGCCGCGGUAAUACGUAGGUGGCAAGCGUUGUCCGGAAUUAUUGGGCGUAAAGCGCGCGCAGGCGGCUUCUUAAGUCUGAUGUGAAAUCUUGGGGCUCAACCGCAAGCGGUCAUUGGAAACUGGGAGGCUUGAGUGCAGAAGAGGAGAGUGGAAUUCCACGUGUAGCGGUGAAAUGCGUAGAGAUGUGGAGGAACACCAGUGGCGAAGGCGACUCUCUGGGCUGUAACUGACGCUGAGGCGCGAAAGCGUGGGGAGCAAAC